rnacentral:snoRNA from 1 species
GCCGCUCUCUUUGGCCGGAUUAAUUUAAUUAUAAUUAAUGCCGAUUAUGCAAGAGUAGGCAGAUUAAAUUUGGUGGGAAUUACGCCUUCGGUGCCCAUAACGGUUAUCAAAUCCGUGGGAAAACGAUCAUCCUUGUUUCCCUCCACA